GGUCCUCUGUUUAUAGAGGUGACCACAGUGACAACUGGGCAUGUGUUUGAGAUUCAGGCAGUGUUCGGUCCUCUGUUUAUAGAGGUGACCACAGUGACAACUGGGGUUGUGUUGUGGUGAGGUGUUUUUGGAAGCUGGAAACGUGUUAUUAAUAUCGAAUUGUUUCCACACCUGAAUCAAAGAAGGAAAAUGUAUUGUCUGAGAUUGGAUAAGUAUAUGAAUAUACAAUUUAUUGUAAAA